rnacentral:rRNA from 1 species
CCUACGGGAGGCAGCAGUGGGGAAUAUUGCACAAUGGGCGAAAGCUUGAUGCAGCAACGCCGCGUGAGUGAUGAAGGCCUUCGGGUUGUAAAGCUCUGUCUUCUGGGACGAUAAUGACGGUACCAGAGGAGGAAGCCACGGCUAACUACGUGCCAGCAGCCGCGGUAAU